GACGAACGCUGGCGGCAUGCCUAACACAUGCAAGUCGAACGGAGUAUGAGAGCAGAAGGUUUCGGCUGGAAGUUUGGAAUACUUAGUGGCGGACGGGUGAGUAACGCGUGGGUAACGUACCUAUCAGAGGGGAAUAACAAUGAGAAAUCAGUGCUAAUACCGCAUAAGGUUCAGUCAUCGCAUGAUGGCAGAAGGAAAGGUGGCGGACUCGAGAGAGGCUAUCGCUGAUAGAGCGACCCGCGUCUGAUUAGCUAGUUGGUGGGGUAAAGGCCUACCAAGGCGACGAUCAGUAGCCGGCCUGAGAGGGUGGACGGCCACAUUGGGACUGAGACACGGCCCAA
rnacentral:rRNA from 1 species